GACGAACGCUGGCGGCGUGCUUAACACAUGCAAGUCGAACGAAGAGCGAUGGAAGCUUGCUUCUAUCAAUCUUAGUGGCGAACGGGGGAGUAACGCGUAAUCAACCUUCCCUUCAGAGGGGGACAACAGUUGGAAACGACUGCUAAUACCGCAUACGAUCUAAUCUCGGCAUCGAGGAUAGAUGAAAGGUUGCCUCUACAUGUAAGCUAUCACUGAAGGAGGGGAUUGCGUCUGAUUAGCUAGUUGGAGGGGUAAAGGCCCACCAAGGCGAUGAUCCGUAGCCGGUCUGAGAGGAUGAACGGCCACAUUGGGAAUGGGAAAAGGCCCAGACUCCUAAGGGAGGCAGCAGUGGGGAAUCUUUCGAAAUGGACGAAAGUCUGACGGAGCAACGCCGCGUGAGGGAUGACGGCCUUCGGGUUGUAAAGCUCUGUUAAUCGGGAAGAAAGGCCUUCUUGCGAAUAGUGAGAAGGAUUGACGGUACCGGAAUAGAAAGCCACGGCUAACUACGUG
rnacentral:rRNA from 1 species